rnacentral:rRNA from 1 species
AUUGAACGCUGGCGGCAGGCCUAACACAUGUAAGUCGAGCGGAUGAAGGGAGCUUGCUCCUGGAUUCAGCGGCGGACGGGUGAGUAAUGCCUAGGAAUCUGCCUGGUAGUGGGGGAUAACGUCCGGAAACGGGCGCUAAUACCGCAUACGUCCUGAGGGAGAAAGUGGGGGAUCUUCGGACCUCACGCUAUCAGAUGAGCCUAGGUCGGAUUAGCUAGUUGGUGGGGUAAAGGCCUACCAAGGCGACGAUCCGUAACUGGUCUGAGAGGAUGAUCAGUCAAACUGGAACUGAGACACGGUCCAGACUCCUACGGGAGGCAGCAGUGGGGAAUAUUGGACAAUGGGCGAAAGCCUGAUCAAGCCAUGCCGCGUGUGUGAAGAAGGUCUUCGGAUUGUAAAGCACUUUAAGUUGGGAGGAAGGGCAGUAAGUUAAUACCUUGCUGUUUUGACGUUACCAACAGAAUAAGCACCGGCUAACUUCGUG